rnacentral:rRNA from 1 species
UUACGGGAUGCACCAGUGGGGAAUAUUGCACAAUGGAGGAAACUCUGAUGCAGCAACGCCGCGUGGAGGAUGACACUUUUCGGAGCGUAAACUCCUUUUAUAUAGGAAGAUAAUGACGGUACUAUAUGAAUAAGCACCGGCUAACUCCGUGCCAGCAGCCGCGGUAAUACGGAGGGUGCAAGCGUUACUCGGAAUCACUGGGCGUAAAGAGCGUGUAGGCGGAUAGAUAAGUCAGGAGUGAAAUCCUAUGGCUCAACCAUAGAACUGCACUUGAAACUGUCUAUCUAGAAUAUGGGAGAGGUAGAUGGAAUUUCUGGUGUAGGGGUAAAAUCCGUAGAGAUCAGAAGGAAUACCGAUUGCGAAGGCGAUCUACUGGAACAUUAUUGACGCUGAGACGCGAAAGCGUGGGGAGUAAACAGGAUUAGAUACCCCCGUAGUC